rfam:Pongo abelii chromosome 15.
GCUGGGCACAAUGGCGCACACCUGUAGUCCUAGCUACACAAGAGGCUCAAGCAGGAGGAUGGCUUGAGCCCAGGAGUUCUGGGCUGUAGUGCACUGUGCCAACCGGGUGUCCACACUAUAUUCAGCAUUAAUAUGGUGACCUCCCAGGAGCGGGGGACCACCAGGUUGCUUAAAGAGGGGUGAACCGACCCAGGUCAGAAAUGGAGCAGGUCAAAACUCCUGUGCUGAUCAGUAGUGGGAUCCUGCCUAUGAAUAGUCACUACACUCCAGCCUGGGCAACAUAGUGAGACCCUGCCUCUA